rnacentral:rRNA from 1 species
CGGGAAACCGGAGCUAAUACCGGAUAAUAUUUUGAACCGCAUGGUUCAAAAGUGAAAGACGGUCUUGCUGUCACUUAUAGAUGGAUCCGCGCUGCAUUAGCUAGUUGGUAAGGUAACGGCUUACCAAGGCAACGAUGCAUAGCCGACCUGAGAGGGUGAUCGGCCACACAUGGAACUGAAACACGGUAAAGACUCCUACGGGAGGCAGCAGUAGGGAAUCUUCCGCAAUGGGCGAAAGCCUGACGGAGCGACGCCGCGUGAGAUGAUGAAGGUCUUCGGAUCGUAAAACUCUGUUAUUAGGGAAGAACAUAUGUGUAAGUAACUGUGCACAUCUUGACGGUACCUAAUCAGAAAGCCACGGCUAACUACGUGCCAGCAGCCGCGGUAAUACGUAGGUGGCAAGCGUUAUCCGGAAUUAUUGGGCGUAAAGCGCGCGUAGGCGGUUUUUUAAGUCUGAUGUGAAAGCCCACGGCUCAACCGUGGAGGGUCAUUGGAAACUGGAAAACUUGAGUGCAGAAGAGGAAAGUGGAAUUCCAUGUGUAGCGGUGAAAUGCGCAGAGAUAUGGAGGAACACCAGUGGCGAAGGCGACUUUCUGGUCUGUAACUGACGCUGAUGUGCGAAAGCGUGGGGAUCAAACAGGAUUAGAUANCCUGGUAGUCCACGCCGUAAACGAUGAGUGCUAAGUGUUAGGGGGUUUCCGCCCCUUAGU